rnacentral:rRNA from 1 species
AUUGAACGCUGGCGGCAGGCCUAACACAUGCAAGUCGAGCGAGCGGCGGACGGGUGAGUAAUGCCUGGGAAUUGCCCAGUCGAGGGGGAUAACAGUUGGAAACGACUGCUAAUACCGCAUACGAUGGGAUUGAGCAGGUGGGAUUAGCGAGUUGGUGAGGUAAUUGCUCACCAAGGCGACGAUCCCUAGCUGGUAUGAGAGGAUGAUCAGCCCUGCUGGAACUGAGACAUGGUCCUGACUCCUACGGGAGGCAGCAUUGGGGAAUAUUGCACAAUGGGGGAAACCCUGAGGCAGCCAUGCCGCGUGUGUGAAGAAGGCCUUCGGGUUGUAAAGCACGUUCAGCGAGGAGGCGUUACUCGCAGAAGAAGCACCGGCUAACUCCGUGCCAGCAGCCGCGGUAAUAC